AUGAUGACAAUUGUGUUUAUGCAGUGCCUCUGCUUCUUUUCUGUUCGUUUUUCACACCAUGGAUCUUAAUAGUGAGAUAGAUAAACUGGAGGGUUAUUAUUCAUAAUCUUCUCAUGAUGUUACUGUGGCUCUAAUUUUAGUUUUUAAACAGUUGGUAUUCAACCUCAUCCUUUUUUUUCAUGAUUUGGAACUGGGUAAUUUUGAUUCUAAGGUUCUUUGUAAAUCAAUGGUGUUUAUUUAUUUUCUGUGUAUCGUAUAGAAAUCAGCAUUGGUGGGUUAUUUGGGUGAUUCCCUUCUGUUGGAGCCCUCAAAUUCUACACAAGAAAUUGCGUAACAGAAAUCGGUAUGUAGAAAGGAUCGCACCUCAAUGGUUUGUGGUUUUCGCUCAAUCAAGAAUGAUCUCUGGAAAAUAAUUUUGAGAGUAUGAUCGUGUAAUCACUUAGGAAAUAGUAACAGCCACAGAAAGAGUGCCCUGGAUGCCAUGAAAAGAUUAGAAGCAACAAUAUAUGCAUG
rnacentral:lncRNA from 1 species